rnacentral:rRNA from 1 species
UAUCAGAUGAGCCUAGGUCGGAUUAGCUAGUUGGUGAGGUAAUGGCUCACCAAGGCUACGAUCCGUAACUGGUCUGAGAGGAUGAUCAGUCACACUGGAACUGAGACACGGUCCAGACUCCUACGGGAGGCAGCAGUGGGGAAUAUUGGACAAUGGGCGAAAGCCUGAUCCAGACAGGCCGCGUGUGUGAAGAAGGUCUUCGGAUGUAAAGCAAUAGAGUUGGGAGGAAGGGCAUUAACCUAAUACGUUAGUGUU